CCUACGGGAGGCAGCAGUGGGGAAUAUUGGACAAUGGGGGCAACCCUGAUCCAGCCAUGCCGCGUGUGUGAAGAAGGCCCUCGGGUUGUAAAGCACUUUCAGUGAGGAAGAACGCCUGGUGGUUAAUACCCAUCAGGAAAGACAUCACUCACAGAAGAAGCACCGGCUAACUCCGUGCCAGCAGCCGCGGUAAUACGGAGGGUGCGAGCGUUAAUCGGAAUUACUGGGCGUAAAGCGCGCGUAGGUGGCUUGAUAAGCCGGUUGUGAAAGCCCCGGGCUCAACCUGGGAACGGCAUCCGGAACUGGCAAGCUAGAGUGCGGGAGAGGAAGGUAGAAUUCCCGGUGUAGCGGUGAAAUGCGUAGAGAUCGGGAGGAAUACCAGUGGCGAAGGCGGCCUUCUGGACUGACACUGACACUGAGGUGCGAAAGCGUGGGUAGCAAACAGGAUUAGAUACCCGAGUAGUC
rnacentral:rRNA from 1 species